ACGUAUCUAUUUGACAGACCUGAAGCAGUUACUGUCUGCUGCUGAGGUUCCCUCUACAGAGACAAGAAAAAAGCGUCCCCCCGCUUUCUGUCUGUCUGAAUUGUGGCAGCCCAGAAUGAAUAGGGAAAUACAGGG